rnacentral:misc_RNA from 1 species
AUUAUUGUUUAUUUAACUAACGUAAUUAAAAUUUGAUGAUUCUUGAGUCUUAUACAAGCAAAUGAGUUCAGACCAGAUUCAGGUAAACAAAUACUGAAACUACAUGCACCUUUUCAUUCCUGAUAUAACUUGUAUACACAACCAAAUGACUUCUUAGUGCUCCAACCAUACACCGCUAACGUCUAGCAUUUUACAGAAAUCGUACAAAGCAUCUUACUCAAUGCUAAUAAUAGCAGCAAUUGGGAACUGGAUAGUGAGACAAUGACUUCAGAUUCGACAAUUGGCAGUGCAGUAGAUAAAUUGAUUAAUAUCAAGAGUCACUCGGCCUUGCUUGGUUGUGUCAAAUGAAUCAAACAGGUUCCGUGAAGACUGUACAAAGAUACAAAGAGAUAUGAAGUCAUCAAGCCUGAAUUUUCCAUUCUUGUUCCUAUCAAAACUCUCGCAGACAGUGUAUAAUGCUGGAGAGUCGAGGCGGAAUCCAAUUUUUAUCAAGGCCUUCAGCAGAAACUUGUUAAGUUCAACAAACUCUUGAAAACUCAUGGUUCCAUUCUGAUCAAAAUCGCACAUCCUGAUCAUUUGCUGGACAACAGUGAUAGGAAAUUGUAAAUUUCCAAUUGCAAAAGCACUCUUGAGUUGAACUGCAGUGAUACUACCAAUUUUGUCGGUGUCAACCCGCUCGAACCACUCUCUCAAAAUCGCCGAGUUCUCCAUCUUCUCUUCUAACCCUCAACACAAUGAAUGAAAAAUUU